rnacentral:rRNA from 1 species
AUAUUGCACAAUGGGGGAAACCCUGAUGCAGCCAUGCCGCGUGUGUGAAGAAGGCCUUCGGGUUGUAAAGCACUUUCAGUAGGGAGGAAAGGGUGUAGUUUAAUACGCUAUAUCUGUGACGUUACCUACAGAAGAAGGACCGGCUAACUCCGUGCCAGCAGCCGCGGUAAUACGGAGGGUCCGAGCGUUAAUCGGAAUUACUGGGCGUAAAGCGUGCGCAGGCGGUUUGUUAAGCGAGAUGUGAAAGCCCUGGGCUCAACCUAGGAAUAGCAUUUCGAACUGGCGAACUAGAGUCUUGUAGAGGGGGGUAGAAUUCCAGGUGUAGCGGUGAAAUGCGUAGAGAUCUGGAGGAAUACCGGUGGCGAAGGCGGCCCCCUGGACAAAGACUGACGCUCAUGCACGAAAGCGUGGGGAGCAAACAGGAUUAGAUACCCUGGUAGUCCACGCCGUAAACGAUGUCUACUCGGAGUUUGGUGUCUUGAACACUGGGCUCUCAAGCUAACGCAUUAAGUAGACCGCCUGGGGAGUACGGCCGCAAGGUUAAAACUCAAAUGAAUUGACGGGGGCCCGGCACA